CCCGUUGACAUCAGACGCUCGGGCGUGCGGGAGGGGUUAUAAGGAGCCAGCCCUGUCCAUCGCAUUGCUGCACCAGCCUGGAAGUCUUCAUGACCUGUGAAUCAUCACAGAUUAUGUGAACAGGCAUACUUUCCUCCCCUGUGCUUAAUAAGACGAGACUCCUUGGCUGCCUUUUGUGCAUUAAAACUUUGUUUUAUGCACUUGGUCCCUAAUUCCUCUCCUAUGGUCCAGCCUAUGCCCCUACGCAGCACGGAUACUUCAGUAAAGGGCGUCUCUAUUCCCUGUGGGGUGAGUGGUUCCCGGGGCCCCGGGACGUCUCAGGACUGGUGUCGUUUUUCCUCUUCAUCCGAGAUGUCAGAGCUGGUUACAUAAUUCUGGUCGCUUUUCAGUACCCCUGAAGAAGCCGACUAAGGCAAAAUAUAUUGGGUCAUACAACAUCUUAAACCGACCAGUAACUCUACAGUGGGAAAUUCCAGCAACCCAAAUAUCGGAAUUCUGACAUAUUGUUUUUAAUACGGUGUAUUAUGUAUUGUAUAAAAUUCUAUUUUUGAUAUUUUAAUAAAUUGUUACAAAAUUUAA